AGCCUCAGAGUUGGCCUUGCACCUGGUGAUGAAGGCCUUCUGCGCCUUCACCACGUUCUCCGUCUUGCCGCCCCAGGCCUUGAGCGUGCUCUGCUGGAGAGCACGGCCGAAGGAGAAGGACAGAGCCCACGGCUUCUUGGUGCUGAGCUUGUUCAUGGCGUUGAGGUUCACGGUCGCCUCCUCCUCGCUCUGUCCACCAGAGAGGAAGACAAUGGCAGGCACGGCAGCAGGGACAGUCCUCUGGAGGGCGCGGACGGUGUACUCGGCGAUGAGCUGAGGGGAAACCUUCUUGGAUUCAGAUCCUGGGGUG
rnacentral:misc_RNA from 1 species